rnacentral:rRNA from 1 species
GACGAACGCUGGCGGCGUGCUUAACACAUGCAAGUCGAACGAAGUGGCGAACGGGUGAGUAACACGUGGGUGAUCUGCCUUGCACUUCGGGAUAAGCUUGGGAAACUGGGUCUAAUACCGGAUAGUGCAAGAUGUGCUCGCGGCCUAUCAGCUUGUUGGUGGGGUAAUGGCCUACCAAGGCGUCGACGGGUAGCCGGCCUGAGAGGGUGUACGGGCACAUUGUGACUGAGAUACGACCCAGACGCCUACGGGAGGCAGCGGUGGGGAAUAUUGCACGACGGGCGGAAGACUGAUGCAGCGACGCCGGGUGGGGGAGGAAGGUCUUCGGGUUGUAAACUCCUUUCGACAGGGACGCGGUACCUGUAUAGGAAGCACCGGCUAACUACGUGCCAGCAGCCGCGGUAAUUC